rnacentral:rRNA from 1 species
AGAGACAGCAGCCGCCACGGUAAUACAGAGGGUGCGAGCGUUAAUCGGAUUUACUGGGCGUAAAGCGUGCGUAGGCGGCUUCUUAAGUCGGAUGUGAAAUCCCUGAGCUUAACUUAGGAAUUGCAUUCGAUACUGGGAAGCUAGAGUAUGGGAGAGGAUGGUAGAAUUCCAGGUGUAGCGGUGAAAUGCGUAGAGAUCUGGAGGAAUACCGAUGGCGAAGGCAGCCAUCUGGCCUAAUACUGACGCUGAGGUACGAAAGCAUGGGGAGCAAACAGGAUUAGAUACCCCAGUAGUCCCUGUCUCUUAUAA